rnacentral:rRNA from 1 species
CGGGGAAUUUUCCGCAAUGGGCGAAAGCCUGACGGAGCAAUACCGCGUGAGGGAGGAAGGCUCUUGGGUUGUAAACCUCUUUUCUCAGGGAAGAACACAAUGACGGUACCUGAGGAAUCAGCAUCGGCUAACUCCGUGCCAGCAGCCGCGGUAAUACGGAGGAUGCAAGCGUUAUCCGGAAUCAUUGGGCGUAAAGCGUCCGCAGGUGGCAAUUCAAGUCUGCUGUCAAAGCUCGGGGCUCAACCCUGGACAGGCAGUGGAAACUGAGCAGCUGGAGUGCGGUAGGGGCAGAGGGAAUUCCCCGUGUAGCGUU